CCCUCUUUAGCUCAGUUGGAAGAGCGCGAGACUGUAAUCAUCUUGAGGUCUCUGGUUCGAUCCCGGAAGGAGGGA
rnacentral:tRNA from 1 species